UGCAGAAGGCCGGACGGGUCACAGAGGUGACUCCGGUAGAGUGAUAAUGAUAGAUUUUGAGCUCUAGGUUCAACCGUACAGGGCUAUUAGAGGGCCUACGGUUGAUUACUUUCUUGCACCUGAUAUGAUUAUGUUGAUGCAUUCAUACCUUAUUACUGUUGAGAUGAUGUGGCAUGGCAUAAUUAAUAUGAGAAAUGUUGAGAUGAUGUGGCAUGGCAUAACUGAUAUGAAAAAUGUUGAAAAAGUGAAAUGAAGUAUUGAGAAUAUAUAUGUAUAUUUAUAUUUUACAUUUCUGGGAAAGUAUACAGGUUUUACGGAGAGGGGUUACAACGUUAUGAGAAAUGUUUGGAUUUGGAAAAGAAUUGUUUUACUGACCCACUCAAUUUUGGUUUUGCGCCCCUCCAGGUUCAGGAAUCACAAAGGUGUGGUGACUACGAGGAAUACGGCGGGGUUCUGACAGAUUGACAAAAUUAGGACUCACCUUCGGGUGUAUCAACUUAUAAAUUGUAUCUUAAAGCUUCCGUACUGUGCAAAUGGUUACGUCACUCUCACGUGACGGCCAGCAUGCCCUCAUUCGGGACGGGGUGUGUCAGUUGGUAUCAGAGCAUGGUUGCAAUCUUGGACAUCUUGAGAAGUUUCUAGUGAAUUCUGUCAGAACUACACCGCCUCGUAGCACACCACGUAGUUAGAGGAAUUUAGUCUCCCUAAUAUAGCGGUUUUGGGGGGAAACUAUUACUAUGGUGAUUCAGUCUAUUGUCUAAAGGGGCAUUUUAAGAUGGGUUAUGAGUUGAAUUUGAAUCACUUAAGAGAAAUGAUGAACCUGAGGGAGCGAAGUAACGGUUUAACCAUUUGGAAAAGAUGUUUCGGAUUAUGCAAGUCAAAGGAAUCUUCCUUCUGACAAGGGGUCGAGAUGACUACCUGGUUUGAGUAUGAACGUGUAUCUUGAUGGAAGCAGGAGUAUUAAUUGUUGUCACCAGAGGAAUCAGUCGAUUUAAAAUUGUUUAAGGACUUGUUUAAGGAAAAGUUUAUCCCUCCGGCAUUUAUCGAUGGUAGUAAACAAGAGUUUACAAAUAUGAGACAAGGAAGGUGAUGAUCGAGGGAUAUUAUAGAAAGUUUUCAGACUUGCCUCGUUCCAUCCAGAUAUUGUUGUUAAUUUGGUGGAGGUGUUAUGUUGUUUUAAGCUGGGUGGCAAAAAGGGAAGUGGUAUUUUGGGUGACCACUAUCCAUUAUACUUCUUACCAGGAAUAUACGAGAUGCUGUUGAGUCUUGAGGACUCUGAGAACAUGAGCAACGAGAAUAAAGAAGAAUAAGAAAUGAAUGGGAAUUAAAAGAAGACGAUAAAGUUAAUGAUUCGUCAUAUCAAGGAGAUAGAAAGAUUCAGAGCUUCGAAAGAAGUGAAGCUAGAGUUAAUUCUUCCAGCUGAGGUUUUAAUGUCGCUGGUCAGAGUAAAAGUGAUGGAUAUACUGGUAAUCCCAGAUAUUUGAGACAAGGUGUCUCGAGUAAAGGAAAUGUACCUUGUGCAGCAGGUACAAAAUUAACACUUUGGGAAGUGUGAAAUUAAUGAAUGUGUUUAUGUGAACAGAGGGGACACAGAAUUGUGAAUCGUCCCUAGAAUCAGUUGUACUCAAUAAUUUUCCAUGAUAUCAUAGUGUCGAUUCAGAAGAGUUAUAAACUUAGUAGUUUGGUCGGAUUGACUGUGAGUACAGAGAGAUUUGAUGAGUUAUAUGUUCAGCCGUACAGACCAUGAGAAGUGGAUUCGAUUGACACAUGAGAAAUUGGUGAGUUAUAGGCUCGGCCGUACCGACCACGCGGAGUGGAUCCGGCUGACGUAUUAUUGAGAUAAGAGUUGAAUCAACCGUAUUGGUCAUUCUAGUUGACUUCGGCUGAUAUAUUUCUUAUUAUGUAUGUUAUUACCUAGAGAGUAGUAAAUAAAUGUAGUUGAGACGAGUGUAUGUAUUUUGCCUUGAGUAACAAAAUAGUAAUGUUAUAUCUUUGAGAGUGGUUGCCUACUUAUCGAGACAACGAUGAUUUAUCAGUAUUGCGGGCUGCAGACCGUAAUAUUAAUAACUCAUUCGUGGAUUCGUUAAGCAAGCAAACCGGUAGGUUAUUUUAUGUUAGUGUUGUACUUAUUUAGAAUGCUUAAUAAUAAUAGAAUAUAUAUUGUAUCAGUUAAUUAUGUUCCAUUAGAUUGGUUGGUUAUAAUUGUGACAAGACGGAAUGUUACGGGAAACCAGUACUUUCCAUCGAUCUGGAUGACCAGAGAUUACUUUUGUAAGUAUGCAAAGUGGAUUGAGUCAGGCCGUUAUUUAUGCUGUGAGAGCAAAGAGAUUGUUUUCGAAAGGCUGUCAAAAAUACUUAGCUCAUGUGGUGCUAAAUGAUGUUGUUUGGAGUAGUGUGAAUAAUGUCGAAAGAGUUAGACUUUUCUUGAUGUCUUCCUUGAAAGUAUACCUGGAUUGCCUUCAGGCAGAGAUGAGGUUCAUUAUUGAUUUGUUGCCAGGUAUAAAUUUAUAUUGGAGAUUGGUUCAGGAUGAGUUAAGGGAAUUGGAAAUUCAGUUGAAAGAAUUGGUUGAUAAAAGUUUCAUUCAACCUAGUACAACACUUUUGAGGAGCCCCAGUUUGUUGGUGAGAAAGAAAAUGGACUUAGAGAUUGUUCAUUGAUUAUAGACAAUGAAGUCGGGUAACGAUUAAGAACCGUUAUCUAUGGUGAUGUACUGAUGUUUAUUUAACCAGCUCAGAAGUAAUUGCGAAGAUUCAAAGAUUGAAUUGAGAUCUGGUUACUACCAAUUGAAUAUUAUAAGUGACGUUGAUCAUAAGAUGGUUUCUGGACUUGUUAUGAUCCUUAUAAAGUUUGGUGAUGCUAUGUGGAUACUCAUGCGGUUUUAUGAGUUGAUGGAUGAAGUAUUCCAAUAAUGCCUUGAUAAUUGAUAUCAUUUUCAUUGAAGAUAUUCUGGCAUAUUCUGAGCCAGAGCAGAGCAUGUAAACGUAUUAAGUCGGUAGAACAAAGAUUGGAAGAAUGUCGAUUGUAUGCUAAGUUUAGCAAAUGCGAAUGUUGGAUGAAUCAAGCAGCAUUUCUGGGAUAUGUUAUAUAUUCUUAAGGUAUUCAAGUGAAUCCUUAAAAGGUAACAGAAAUUAAAAUUUGGAACAACCACGAGUCGUAAUUGAGAUUUGGAAUUUCUUAGCUUACCAGGCUAUCUUGGAUGGUUGUGAAAGAUUUUUUCAGUCAUUGCUUUGUCAUUGACGAGACUGUUGAGAAAAGAGGUUAGGUAUGAGUGGGAAGGAAUUGUAAGCAAAGGAUUCAACAACUGAAGUAUUUCCACACUCAUGCACGUAUUUUGGUAUUCCCAGAGAAUAGUGGUAAUCAUAAAUUUUUAGUGAUGUUUCUUGAAUGGUAUUGGAGGCAUGUUGAUGCAAAUGUUAGGGUGAUUGCAUACGUUUCACGAUAAAUGGAAUCUCAUAAGAUGAAUUACCCUACUGGUGAUUUGGAAGUCACGAUUACCAUUCUUGCUGUGAAGUUAUGGAGACAUUAUAUUUUAGUGGGAAUGCAAGAUUUUUUUUUUUACGAAUCCAAAAAGUCUUCAAUAUCCAUUACUUGGAAGGAUUUUGAUAUGAGGCAGCGAAAGUGAAUUGUAUUGCUUAAUGAACAUGAUUGUACGAUCAGGGUGAUCGUAAAGUUUGUUCUAGCUGAAGCACUUGGUGAGAAGACUACAGUAAGAUUAAUAUCUGGCAUGUUUGCCAAGAGUAUCAUCUUGUGGAUUGAAAACCAACGGAAGAAAAAUUAAGGAUGGAAGAUCGAGAAGAAGUUAUACUUGUUAAGUAACAAGUUAGUACAUUUACUCCAGUGUUGAGUAACAACCUUUCCCAGACAGUGCAACACUACUUAUUUGUUUUAUGGAAAAGAGAAUUGGAUUACGGAACUGCUAAGUUUCUUAAGUAUGUUGGUUGUGCAGUUUCCGAAGUAACGCCAUAAGGACCAUGAAAUGUGUCACGUGAGUCAGUUUUUGAUGACUUGUGAAUGGAAUGUUUCUGGGUAGAGAAAGAUUCGAUCAAGAAAGAGUUUUAGUAGACCCUGAGACUAUGGAUGAGUCUCCUCAAAGUAUUCAGGUGAUUAAGUUAACCUGAAGUAACCAGGAAUGGCAAAAGAGAUCAACAGAUGGAUAUGCCACUAAUCGAGUGUGUAAGGUAAAUGGUUUGAUAUUUUUGGAAAAUUCACCACGAACAGAAAUGACGAGAAUUGGAAAAGAGACAAGAUAAGAUUUAGACACAUCAGACCAUUUUUUUUAUCACUAAAGGAAUCAAUAAAGUUGCAUACAAGUUUGUGAUGCCUUCAGAAUUGGCUAAGGCACAUAAUGUAUUUUGUGUUCGAUGCGUUGUCACUAAGUGGCAGGGUCGUUACAUGGGACUUUGGUGCAACUAUUGAGAAUUAAGCCGGAUAUGAUUGGUGAGGAACUAAUGUCGACGUUGGAUUGGAAAAAGAAGGUCCUAAGAAUUAAGACAGAGUAAGUAGUAAAAGCUUUGUGAAGGAAAUCAUUCAGUAGAAAAUUAUGUGGGAGAAAGAGAAUCGGAUGAGAUUUAUCCGAGGCUAUUGUAUGAGUAUAGAUGAUUUGGUUGGUUGCUGGAAUUUCGGGGACGAAAUUCUAUAAGGAGGGGAGAUUGUCACAGCCCGUCCCGGAAUUUUUAAUUCCGAGGACAUGAAAUUACGGAAAUGUCCCUAAUACGUGACUAAGGUAUAAUUUUCACGUUCGUUAUAUCUAAGCUCCAAAAAAAUUUGGUAAUUAGAGUGGAGACUUAGACUUAAAUUUUAUGAUGGAAUUUUAUGAAAUUGGGAUUGGUUUGGACAUGUGGGAUCCCCACACCUCAAAACCCUCCCCAUUUCCCGUAUACUGUCCUUCAUACUCUCUCUCUUCCUCAGACCUCACUCUCUCUCUCUCUCACCCUCUCGAACACACAGGCAACCACCCAAAACCACCUAAAACUUAUACCAACGUCGGAUUUAAAGCUACCAUGGCAUUCCUGAGGACUCCACGAUCACGUAGACACCAAUUUCAGGUAAGUUUUACUUCGGAAAACCUAGAUUCUAAACUCCCCGUGAAAGUGCACUGUUCAUGAUCUUCGAAUUGACUUUGUUUUAGGACAAUCCAAGCUCAUAGCAAGCUUGGUGAGGUCCCAAGGAAGCUCGGAGUGCUUCGUUGGAAGUUUUUGGACGUAAGAACACGGAGAUCGACAAGUUCAAAGUUUGGCCGGAGCUUUCGAGGCGUUUUCCGGCGAAUCCCCGGCGAGUUAGGAGUCAAGGUAGGUAUCAAUCUCUUCGUCUCGUCAAGUACUACAACUUUCCUUUUUGUUUCACUCAAUUUCGUUGAGUAUUGAAGAAGUUAUACGCAUUUGAAAAAUACCCAGUUUCCGGCGACCUCCGAGGCUUUCGAGGCAGUUUCCGGCCAAACCACGGCGAACUAGGUGUUGUGCAAGGUACCAUUAUCUUUUUCUCUUCAAGGGCUACAACUUUCGUUUUUGAAUCACUUGAUUUCGUUGAGAAAUGACAAAGUUAUGGCAAUUUGAAAAACUGCCCAGAAAACGGCCGCCGGAAAAACCAGUCCGGCGACCCAAGGAAGAAGAAGGUGCUACAGUAAAAAUAAAAAAUAAAAAUAAAAUUAUUUUAAAAAUAUAUGUCGACGUCCGUGACGUCGAGUAGAUCACUGUGGUAUAUUCAUAUACCUAAAUUGAACACCGUAUGAGAAAGUUAUUAAGGAUUGUUGGUUAGGUGUUCAAAUAACGUUUUAUAGUUUUCACAUUUAGGUGAAAAUGUGAAUUGAUGAUCCGACCGUUGGAUCAUCACCAAACCUUGAUACGUUGUAAUACGUAAUAUUUGAGGAUUAUUGGAACUUACAGAUUGGGAAUCCGAUUUGCGGAUCUUCCGGAAUUGGAAUUGUAAGUCCAUAAUAUAAAAUGUUAACCGUCACUUAGUUUUGGAAAUUGACGGAGAUCCGACCGUUGGAUGGUAAUGAAAUUUUAGGAUGUUAUCCUAGAGAUAUAUUGUGGACCUCUGGAAGUUAUGGAUUUAAAAUCUGAGGGGUGGAUCUUCCGGAUCAAUCUACGUAGUGACGUAUUUUAUAUAAGUUAUAUAUUCUAUCGAUAUGAAUUCUGAGGUUGGAUUUGAUUACUAUUCUAGGCGGCGAUCGUCGUGACGCCUUGUUGUGAGGUGCUAGGGAGUUGUUGGACGAACUCCAGGUGAGUGGGCAGUUUUGUUUUCCGUAUAUAUAUAUAUACUUAACGUUUUCCCAGAAAUUGAAAAAUGCAUGAAAUUAUGUUUUAAAAUGAAAUGCAUAUGAGUUAUGUGGAAAAACGGGAAGUGAAAUACCAUGCAUAGAAUUGAUAUGAAAAGUAUAUAGAAAUGUGAGUUGAAAUGCCAUGCAUGAAUUAAUAUAUGAUGCAUAUGUAUGAAUUGGUGCGGUGGACGCACAAGUAAGAAUUGAUUUAUGAUGCAUAUGUAUGAAUUGGUGCGGUGGACGCACAGGUAAGAAUUGAUUUAUGAUGCAUAUGUAUGAAUUGGUGCGGUGGACGCACAGGUAAGAAUUGAUUUAUGAUGCAUAUGUAUGAAAUGGUGCGGUGGACGCACAGAUGAGUAUUUAAUUACUGUUAUGAUGAUGAUGAUGAUAUAUAUUGAGCUCAAAUCCUGCACCAUGGUUUAGUGCUUAUAGUAUUCACCGCAUCGCACGCUCGCCUUGGAUCCAAGUAGAUGCUAGUCGUACAGUCCACGCGGAGUGGGUACGACAGACCAGUCGCGAGAGUGUUAGUGAGAGAUUCCGACUGGUGGGUGACCUUAGAUUAUGUGCACAGAUGAUUUAUGAGAAGCACUAGAGCGUAACUUGCGUGCAGAAGGCCGGACGGGUCACAGAGGUGACUCCGGUAGAGUGAUAAUGAUAGAUUUUGAGCUCUAGGUUCAACCGUACAGGGCUAUUAGAGGGCCUACGGUUGAUUACUUUCUUGCACCUGAUAUGAUUAUGUUGAUGCAUUCAUACCUUAUUACUGUUGAGAUGAUGUGGCAUGGCAUAAUUAAUAUGAGAAAUGUUGAGAUGAUGUGGCAUGGCAUAACUGAUAUGAAAAAUGUUGAAAAAGUGAAAUGAAGUAUUGAGAAUAUAUAUGUAUAUUUAUAUUUUACAUUUCUGGGAAAGUAUACAGGUUUUACGGAGAGGGGUUACAACGUUAUGAGAAAUGUUUGGAUUUGGAAAAGAAUUGUUUUACUGACCCACUCAAUUUUGGUUUUGCGCCCCUCCAGGUUCAGGAAUCACAAAGGUGUGGUGACUACGAGGAAUACGGCGGGGUUCUGACAGAUUGGACAAAAUUAGGACUCACCUUCGGGUGUAUCAACUUAUAAAUUGUAUCUUAAAGCUUCCGUACUGUGCAAAUGGUUACGUCACUCUCACGUGACGGCCAGCAUGCCCUCAUUCGGGACGGGGUGUGUCACUGCGGGCCGCAUAUACUUUGUAAUUUUUAGGGUUAACAAUAUAUAUAUAUAUAUAUAUACAUAU
rnacentral:lncRNA from 1 species